rnacentral:misc_RNA from 1 species
GUUGGAGAGAGAAAGAUGAGUGGUAGUGGUGGUGGAGGCGGAGGCGGCUAACUCGUCUGCCGUGCUCGAGAUGGUGGAUUCACUCGACAAGUUGUGUUUUGGAACGGUCUUAGUGUCGAGCUUUUCAUCUACGUCAGGAGGAGGAGGAGGUUUUCUUGUGGAUCUUCGAUAAAGAUUGGAGUGUUGUCUAUGUUUUCUAGCCAUGAUCACGUGCCAAUGAUUCUUGACAGCAUUAUCAGUUCUACCAGGAAACAAACGAG